AACGCUAGCUACAGGCUUAACACAUGCAAGUCGAGGGGCGGCAUGGUCUUAGCUUGCUAAGGCCGAUGGCGACCGGCGCACGGGUGAGUAACACGUAUCCAACCUGCCGUCUACUCUUGGACAGCCUUCUGAAAGGAAGAUUAAUACAAGAUGGCAUCAUGAGUCCGCAUGUUCACAUGAUUAAAGGUAUUCCGGUAGACGAUGGGGAUGCGUUCCAUUAGAUAGUAGGCGGGGUAACGGCCCACCUAGUCUUCGAUGGAUAGGGGUUCUGAGAGGAAGGUCCCCCACAUUGGAACUGAGACACGGUCCAAACUCCUACGGGAGGCAGCAGUGAGGAAUAUUGGUCAAUGGGCGAGAGCCUGAACCAGCCAAGUAGCGUGAAGGAUGACUGCCCUAUGGGUUGUAAACUUCUUUUAUAAAGGAAUAAAGUCGGGUAUGGAUACCCGUUUGCAUGUACUUUAUGAAUAAGGAUCGGCUAACUCCGUGCCAGCAGCCGCGGUAAUACGGAGGAUCCGAGCGUUAUCCGGAUUUAUUGGGUUUAAAGGGAGCGUAGAUGGAUGUUUAAGUCAGUUGUGAAAGUUUGCGGCUCAACCCGUAAAAUUGCAGUUGAUACUGGAUAUCUUGAGUGCAGUUGAGGCAGGCGGAAUUCGUGGUGUAGCGGUGAAAUGCUUAGAUAUCACGAAGAACUCCGAUUG
rnacentral:rRNA from 1 species